CACCCAUGCACCUAGCAGAGUCCCUGCCCACCUGGGUCCUCUGCAUCCCACCUUCUCGAUCCACCUGCUCAGCCUGUCAGGAACAGACAUGCGUCUAUUGUCUGCCCAUCUCAUCCAUGCCCACAAGCUCAGACUGGUUCUGCUACAAAUAAUGUGCAUCCUUUUGGCUGGCAACACUUAGUAAAGUUUUAUGCAGCUUUCCUCACCACAUAAUGCUGUCAUUGAAGAGCAAGCUG
rnacentral:lncRNA from 1 species